rnacentral:rRNA from 1 species
UUGUCCUGUGACUGCGUACCUUUUGUAUAAUGGGUCAGCGACUUAUAUUCAGUGGCAAGGUUAACCAUCUAGGGGAGCCGUAGGGAAACCGAGUCUUAACUGGGCGUUCAGUCUCUGGAUAUAGACCCGAAACCAGGUGAUCUAGCCAUGGGCAGGUUGAAGGUUGAGUAACAUCAACUGGAGGACCGAACCGACUAAUGUUGAAAAAUUAGCGGAUGACUUGUGGCUAGGGGUGAAAGGCCAAUCAAACCUGGAGAUAGCUGGUUCUCCCCGAAAGCUAUUUAGGUAGCGCCUCGGACGAAUACUACUGGGGGUAGAGCACUGUUAAGGCUAGGGGGUCAUCCCGACUUACCAACCCUUUGCAAACUCCGAAUACCAGUAAGUACUAUCCGGGAGACACACGGCGGGUGCUAACGUCCGUCGUGGAGAGGGAAACAACCCAGACCGCCAGCUAAGGUCCCAAAUUACUACUAAGUGGGAAACGAUGUGGGAAGGCUCAGACAGCCAGGAUGUUGGCUUAGAAGCAGCCAUCAUUUAAAGAAAGCGUAAUAGCUCACUGGU